rnacentral:lncRNA from 1 species
GCCUAACACAUCGACACUUGAAUCAUUCCCCAUGUAUACUCUUCUGCUCCCAGCAGGCACACGACGGUACUCGACGAAUCCCCUCCGAUCCCUCGCUACGUGGUCUGUUGCUCCUGAGUCUUCUUCGGCUCAGUGCAAUCACGAGCGAAGUGUCCCAGCUGAUUACAGUUGAAACAAGUCAUCUUUGACUUGUCUUUCUUGCCACCUCGUUUGCUUCUCUUUCUUUUAGUGUUCUUCGCAUUCUUAGGCGCGGAUCCGCUACGAUUUUGAGCCCCAGUAGUCCUCUUUCGCUUGAACCCAGAUGUCCUGCGAAAGUUUGACUCAGCAACAUUGGCAGUUGGAGUUUUAACAGCCUCAAG